GACGAACGCUGGCGGCAUGCCUAACACAUGCAAGUCGAACGGAGGUAUGGGCUUCGGCCCAUGCCUUAGUGGCGAACGGGUGAGUAACACGUGAGCAACCUGCCCCGUACUACGGGAUAACACUAAGAAAUUAGUGCUAAUACGGUAUAUGACCACACCGAGGCAUCUCGGAGGGGUAAAAGCGUUUAGCGGUACGGGAUGGGCUCGCGGCCAAUUAGCUAGUUGGUGAGGUAACGGCCCACCAAGGCGACGAUUGGUAGCCGACUUGAGAGAGUGAUCGGCCACACUGGAACUGAGACACGGCCCAGACUCCUACGGGAGGCAGCAGUGGGGAAUUUUGGACAAUGGGGGCAACCCUGAUCCAGCCAUGCCGCGUGAGUGAAGAAGGCCUUCGGGUUGUAAAGCUCUUUCGGUGGGGUAAGGAAAUCGCGCUCUCUAACAUAGGGUGUGGAUGACGGUACCCGCAUAAGAAGACACCGGCUAACUACGUGCCAGCAGCCGCGGUAAU
rnacentral:rRNA from 1 species